CCUACGGGAGGCAGCAGUAGGGAAUCUUCCGCAAUGGACGAAAGUCUGACGGAGCAACGCCGCGUGAGUGAUGAAGGCUUUCGGGUCGUAAAACUCUGUUGUUAGGGAAGAUACAAGUAACGAGAGUAACUGCUCUGUACCUUGACGGUACCUAACCAGAAAGCCACGGCUAACUACAGUGCCAGCAGCCGACGGUAAUACGUAGGUGGCAAGCGUUAUCCGGAUAUUAUUGGGCGUAAAGCGCGCGCAGGCGGUUUCUUAAGUCUGAUGAUGAAAGCCCAUCGGCUCAACCGUGGAGGGUCAUUGGAAACUGGGGAGGACUUGAGUGCGAGAAGAGAAAAGCGGAAUUCCACGUGUAGCGGUGAAAAGUGAGUAGAGAUGUGGAGGAACACCAGUGGCGAAGGCGGCUUUUUUGUUCUGUAACAUGACGACUGAGGCGCGAAAGCGUGGGGAGCCAACAGGAUUAUAUACCCUGGUAGUCCACGCCGUAAACGAUGAGUGAUAAGUGUUAGAGGGUUUCCGCCAUUUAGUGCUGCAGCUCACGCAUUAAGCACUCCGCCUGGGGAGUACGGUCGCAAGACAGAAACUCAAAGGAAUGGACGGGGGCCCGUCACAAGCAGGUGGAGCAUGUCGGUUUAAUUUGAAGCAACGCGAAGAACCUUAC
rnacentral:rRNA from 1 species